GCGGGAAUUCGAUUAGAGUUUGAUCAUGGCUCAGAACGUACGCUGGCGGCACGCCUAACACAUGCAAGUCGAACGAAGUAGCAAUACUUAGUGGCAGACGGGUGAGUAACAUGUGGGUAUCUGCCCUUUGGCCUGGAAUAACACGAGGAAACUUGUGCUAAUACUGGAUAAGUCUUUACGGAGAAAGCUUUAUGCACCAUUGGAUGAGCCCGCACUUGAUUAGUUUGUUGGUGGGGUAAUGGCCUACCAAGACCGUGAUCAAUAGCUGAUUUGAGAGGAUGAUCAGCCACAUUGGGACUGAGACACGGCCCAAACUCCUACGGGAGGCAGCAGUGGGGAAUCUUGCACAAUGGAGGAAACUCUGAUGCAGCGAUGCCGCGUGAGUGAAGAAGGCCUUUGGGUUGUAAAGCUCUUUCGUCGGGGAAGAAAAUGACUGUACCCGAAUAAGAAGGUCCGGCUAACUUCGUGCCAGCAGCCGCGGUAAUACGAAGGGACCUAGCGUAGUUCGGAAUUACUGGGCUUAAAGAGUUCGUAGGUGGUUGAAAAAGUUGGUGGUGAAAUCCCAGAGCUUAACUCUGGAACUGCCAUCAAAACUUUUCAGCUAGAGUUUGAUAAAGGAAAGCAGAAUUUCUAGUGUAGAGGUGAAAUUCGUAGAUAUUAGAAAGAAUACCAAUUGCGAAGGCAGCUUUCUGGAUCAUUACUGACACUGAGGAACGAAAGCAUGGGUAGCGAAGAGGAUUAGAUACCCUCGUAGUCCAUGCCGUAAACGAUGUGUGUUAGACGUUGGAAAUUUAUUUUCAGUGUCGCAGCGAAAGCGAUAAACACACCGCCUGGGGAGUACGACCGCAAGGUUAAAACUCAAAUGAAUUGACGGGGACCCGCACAAGUAGUGGAGCAUGUGGUUUAAUUCGAAGAUACGCGCAGAACCUUACCAACACUUGACAUGUUCGUCGCAACUUUAAGAGAUUAAAGUUUUCGGUUCGGCCGGACGAAACACAGGUGCUGCAUGGCUGUCGUCAGCUCGUGUCGUGAGAUGUUGGGUUAAGUCCCGCAACGAGCGCAACCCUCACUUUUAGUUGCCAUCAUUAAGUUGGGCACUCUGAAAGAACUGCCAGUGAUAAGCUGGAGGAAGGUGGGGAUGACGUCAAGUCCUCAUGGCCCUUACGUGUUGGGCUACACACGUGCUACAAUGGUAUCUACAACAGGAAGCGAAACAGCGAUGUUAAGCAAAUCCUUAAAAGAUACCUCAGUUCGGAUUGCACUCUGCAACUCGAGUGCAUGAAGCUGGAAUUACUAGUAAUCGUGGAUCAGCGUGCCACGGUGAAUGCGUUCCC
rnacentral:rRNA from 1 species